GGCAUGCAGGGUGAUGUGUAAAACACAUAUCACUAUGCAAAAUACUCCUUCAGAUCAAAGAAAAUUUGCCCAGGAUUUCCAAGACCCUCUGACCACUGGAUAACAGAAUCACAGAUCAUUGGGAUUUCUGAAUCUGAAGGCCAAAAGCUUAUUCCAGCUGGAAAGUCAGAAGUCCUUCAGUUUUGACCAAAGGAUUAAGAAAUCCCAAAGUCUUGCACUAAGGAGACAAGAAGCAACUUGCAAUAAAGAAAUUAUAAGAGACAAGAACCUCUGUGACCAAGCCCACCAUCACAAUGUUUACAUACCUGCAGGCCAGGUAAUUCUUUAGUUUGUGACAGUUUCUGAUAACUCUGCUACUUAUGCACACUAAGAAAU
rnacentral:lncRNA from 1 species